GGUUGAUUGGUCUAGUGGUUAUGAUUUCUGUCUUACACGUUUAUCCUCGGUAGCGGGGAUCGAACUUAUACACAGAAGGCCGCAAGUUCGACCCUUGCAUCAGCCA